CUUCGUUUUUCUUUUUCCCGAAAAAGCUUUAUUUGUCUUCCCAAAAAACCAAUCAACACAUAUCCCUGUCUCUUCCUCUCCUCCCACCUCAAAGCUUCAAAAGAGUACUCUCUCUGUCUCUCUCUCAAACAUCAAGUCAUGAGGACUUUCCUUAUUUGGCCGUUCCGGGGUUCGCCUCCCGCACUGUGGAUUCACUCAGGCUCCUUCUCUGGCUACGUGUUACCGACAACUGUACGUCCCUUUCUGCAUGAUAGAGAGAGAAAAAGAGAAAGGCAAGGAGGAGAUAAGAUCAUAAAUAUGAGAGUCAAUGAAGAGAGAGACAUACAGAAACACAGAGACACACAGAGAGAGAAAGAAAGGGUAGCAGAUAGCAGCAGUAGUAGUAGCAGUACAGCUUCUUUUCGUAUUGGGGUUUGUGGUGGUUGUUUUCAUUUUUUCUUCUCUUUUAUUUACUUUUUGUCAUUGAACAAAACCCUAAAUUUCCUUCGCACCAAAAGAUUAUUAUUCGUUGAUUAUUCCGGCAUUUUGGUAUCUUUCCUUAUUUGGGCUUUUCUUCUCUCCUUCUGGGUUCUCAGAUCUGACUCAUUUGUACCGAUCUUUUUAUUUAUCUCUCUCUUUCAAGUUCUACUUUCUUCCCAAUCUUUUUUUUCUUAUUAAUUAUCAAAAAUUCAGUAUUGGGUAGUUAUAUAUUCUUGUGUUUAGAAAUUUAAUCUGGUUGGGACUUAGGGUAGAAAUUGACAGAAGAGAGUGAGCACACAGAGGCACUUGCCAUAAAGCGUAUGCCAUUGCUUUUGCGUGCUCAUGUCUCUUUCUGUCAGCUUCCCCAUUUCCACUGCCGGAUUAAUAUUAAUUUUUUCAUUUCUUCCUUCACACCCCCUCCCUUCUUCUCGUCUCUCUCUUUAAUUUGUUUCACCAGUUCUCUUCUCUCUCUCAAAAUGUUUUAUUUAUGGUGCUUAAUUAACUGCUCAAGGGGGAUUCAAACUUCAAAGAAACUGAACCCCUAAGCCUGGCCUAGCUAAGAGAGCAUGCUCCUGUUACUCCUUUGAAAUCGGUAAGUGAUUAUAUGCAUAUUGUAUCAAUUGUUUUUAUGUUAUCUAAGCAGCUGAAACUAUUACCUUGAGAGCGUUACUUUUGAUAUUGUUUUAUAUAUGAGAAGGUACAUAUACCUGUUUACUGUGCGAAAUUAGCGGCAAAAACCAGGUUAUCAAGCAUAUAGCAUAUCAUGGGACCAUUAUUCUCGCUCUAUCUCUAUAGUAUGGUCCUCCCUUUCCUUCCCUCCCUUCCUCACUCAUCAUCUUGAAACCCUGAUCUAGUCCGAGAAUUGGUAAUUUUGAUCCUUUUUUAAUUCUUACGCAUGCGAUGCUAACUUGAAAACUGGUUCUUUUUGGACCUUUCUUGUAUUUUGUUUAAUAAAUGGGUUUCUGCAGAACCCUAUUUAGUAGCCUGAAUAUGGUUGCUUUGCUUCGUGUUCGUACUACUGGUUACAAAUGUUUUUCCUAAUAACUAGUUUUUGGUCUAGAUUUUGCUUUUAAAAUUCUAUUGUGAAUGCACAUAUUUCUUAUAAUUCUAUUGUGAUUUAAUGUGAUGAUCUAAGAUAAAAUGAGUAUGGUUUUGUUAUCUGUUUAUCUCUAGUUUUAAUUAUGCAGGUUAGCCUUAUGGAUUGAUAUAACAGUCCAUUGUCAAGUUGUAAGUUUUUUCUUCUUUUUUUUUUCUUUUGGGCAUGUGUAUACAGCUAUCUUUCAAGUUUCAUCAGAUGACAGCUUGUUAAACAGGUUUGAAUUUGCUUUCCCAAUGAUCAAAAUCAAUUUGGUGGUUCAUUUCUUGCACCAAAUUUAUGUAUAUAUCUCUAUAUGUGUGAUCUAUGACAUAUAUUUAUUUGGAUUUUAUUUUCAGAGUUGUUUCUCUAAUUAGAGGCCGCUGGUAAGUAUUUCUAACCCAAAUACCCGAUGGCCUUAUUAAUCUGUAUGCAUACCACAGUAACAUGAAUAAUUUCGAUCUGUGUUUAUAUCUCGCAGUAAAAUUUGUUCCAUAUCUAUGUCCACAAACUGGAAGAGGCUGUUCCCAAACAAUAAUGACUGGGAUACACUGGAUACUAUUGAUUCAUCACCACAAUAUAUAAUAUAUCACAUCUGGCUUUGAGUUCAUCAUCCGCACAUGGCGCUUCAGAGCUUAAGCUAUUCUCCUCCACAAUGAAUGGUGGGAUAUUUCCGCGAUAAUGGAAUCCCCCUUUUUUUUAUUCGAGUGGGGGAUCUGUAUUUGCCACUUUCCGUAGGUUUUGAGAGCGUGGAGUUCGACCAGAAAUGCUUUCCCAGAUUUUUGGAACCCACCUUCUUCAUAUGUAGUUCAUCCUCUCUGCAAUAUUCAUUAUUAUUUAUUGAUAAAUGCCUUUUUUACAAGAUUUAAUGGAAAAGUACUGUAUCAUA